rnacentral:rRNA from 1 species
AUUGAACGCUGGCGGCAGGCUUAACACAUGCAAGUCGAGCGGAGCGAGGGUGCUUGCACCUUAGCUUAGCGGCGGACGGGUGAGUAAUGCUUAGGAAUCUGCCUAUUAGUGGGGGACAACAUUCCGAAAGGGAUGCUAAUACCGCAUACGCCCUACGGGGGAAAGCAGGGGAUCUUCGGACCUUGCACUAAUAGAUGAGCCUAAGUCGGAUUAGCUAGUUGGUGGGGUAAAGGCCUACCAAGGCGACGAUCUGUAGCGGGUCUGAGAGGAUGAUCCGCCACACUGGGACUGGGACACGGCCCAGACUCCUACGGGAGGCAGCAGUGGGGAAUAUUGGACAAUGGGGGGAACCCUGAUCCAGCCAUGCCGCGUGUGUGAAGAAGGCCUUUUGGUUGUAAAGCACUUUAAGCGAGGAGGAGGCGCUCUAGGAUAAUACCCUAGAUGCGUGGACGUUACUCGCAGAAUAAGCACCGGCUAACUCUGUGCCAGCCGCCGCAGUAAAAC